CCGAGUGAAGGGCCCCCGGGUCCGAUCUCCCACCCUUUGUGAUUAAACCUCUGUUGCCUCGGGGGUGACCCGCGCGUCCUCGGCGUCGGGGCCCCCGGUGGACCAACCAUCAACACUGCAUCUUUGCGUCGGAUAUCAAUGAAAAUAAACAA
rnacentral:misc_RNA from 1 species